GGUGUGCUGGAGCCAUUGGAGGGGGAGAAGCAGGAACAGUGAGAGAGGUCACAUUACAGUGGCUGCUCCAGAGCCUUUACAACUACAAGUAAUUCUCCACCCACCCUGAGAAUCAGAGGAUAUGCCUGUAAAGGAUUCAGACAGCAGUCUGAGCUGCUUAUGGAAGUCAGCCACAGGGACAAAUAAAGUGGAGGCGAAGCCAAAGAUUGCUUUGAUCCUUACUGCGACAGGCACAGAAGUCCCAGAUGGUGGUGGAGAAAGAGGGGAAAGUUGUGCAGAAAUAUCAAAAAUGUCUGAGGCUCAUUGUGUUCUUAGAAAAAAAUGUUACUUAUGAGAGAGAGAUGGGUCAGGACAAGAACACAGAAUGAAGGGAAACAAUCGAGUUUUGUCAGAGAUUUAAAGCUAAAAAAUCAGUCCUGUGACCAUGGAAUCGUAAAAGAUUCUCUCAUUAAAGACCAAAUUAUCCUGGGGUGU